UCGUGACUGACCCAGGUGCUUUUUCUGUGUUUCCACUGGCUUGCCAUAAAGGCUGAGAUAUUAUAAAUAUGAACGAUGAUGGACUGGUCAUCUGUCCAUGGUGUCUCCUUGCCUUCCAUCCAGUGCAUGAUGGGAAGGGCUCAAGGGCAGACAAGCAAGCUAUAAGAAUACAAAUAAAAAGAAAAGUUCCACUAAAUCGUGAGCGGAUCUGUUCCAGCUAUAAGGAGCAGCCUAAGGCCGGAGUUGUGUCCAUGCUCUUACUAACCAGGACUAUCACAGCUGCUGCCUGUUUGUGA
rnacentral:lncRNA from 1 species